GGGGUCAUAGCUCAAGUGGCGCUUUGCGCCUGUCUUGCACACAGGAGGUUAGGGGUACCCUUCGGGAAGCAAGCUACAAAUCCCCUUGAUUCCA
rnacentral:tRNA from 2 species